GCAAGUCGAACGGUAAACGACAGGUAGCUUGCUCCUGGGCGUCGAGUGGCGGACGGGUGAGUAAUGCAUAGGAAUCUGCCCAUGUAGUGGGGGACAACCUGGGGAAACUCAGGCUAAUACCGCAUGAGCCCUUCGGGGGAAAGCAGGGGAUCUUCGGACCUUGCGCUAUUGGAUGAGCCUAUGCCUGAUUAGCUUGUUGGUGGGGUAACGGCCUACCAAGGCGACGAUCAGUAGCUGGUCUGAGAGGACGAUCAGCCACACUGGGACUGAGACACGGCCCAGACUCCUACGGGAGGCAGCAGUGGGGAAUAUUGGACAAUGGGCGCAAGCCUGAUCCAGCAAUGCCGCGUGUGUGAAGAAGGCCUGCGGGUUGUAAAGCACUUUCAGUGGGGAGGAAAAGCUCAAGGUUAAUACCCUUGGGUCUUGACGUUAUCCACAGAAGAAGCACCGGCUAACUCUGUGCCAGCAGCCGCGGUAAUACAGAGGGUGCAAGCGUUAAUCGGAAUUACUGGGCGUAAAGCGCGCGUAGGCGGUUUGUUAAGUCGGAUGUGAAAGCCCCGGGCUCAACCCGGGAACUGCAUUCGAUACUGGCAGGCUAGAGUAUGGUAGAGGGAAGUGGAAUUCCGGGUGUAGCGGUGAAAUGCGUAGAUAUC
rnacentral:rRNA from 1 species